rnacentral:rRNA from 1 species
AGUGAACGCUGGCGGUAGGCCUAACACAUGCAAGUCGAACGGCAGCACAGGAGAGCUUGCUCUCUGGGUGGCGAGUGGCGGACGUGUGAGGAAUACAUCGGAAUCUACUUUUUCGUGGGGGAUAACGUAGGGAAACUUACGCUAAUACCGCAUACGACCUACGGGUGAAAGCAGGGGAUCUUCGGACCUUGCGCGAUUGAAUGAGCCGAUGUCGGAUUAGCUAGUUGGCGGGGUAAAGGCCCACCAAGGCGACGAUCCGUAGCUGGUCUGAGAGGAUGAUAAGCCACACUGGAACUGGGACACGGUCCAGACUCCUAUGGGAGGCAGCAGUGGGGAAUAUUGGACAAUGGGAGCAAGCCUGAUCCAGCCAUACCGCGUGGGUGUAGGAGGCCUUCGGGUUGUAAAGCCCUUUUGUUGGGAAAGAAAUCCAGCUGGUUAAUACCCGGUUGGGAUGACGGUACCCAAAGAAUAAGCACCGGCUAACUUCGUGCCAGCCGCCGCCGUAA